rnacentral:rRNA from 1 species
GAUGAACGCUGGCGGCGUGCCUAAUACAUGCAAGUCGAGCGAACGGACCAGAAUCUUGCUUCUUUCAUGUUAGCGGCGGACGUGUGAGUAACACGUGUAUACCCUACCUAUAUGACUGGUAUAACUUCGGGAAACCGGCUCUUAUACCGUAUAAUAUUUUGCACCGCAUUGUUCAAUAGUGAAAUACGGCCUUGCUGUCUCUUAUAGCUGCAUCCGCGCUUCAUUAGCUAGUUGGUAAGGUAACGGCUUACCAAGGCAACGAUGCAUAGGCGACCUGAGAGAGUGAUAGGCCACACUGGAACUGGAACGGGGACCAGACGCCUACGAGAGGCAGCAGUAGGGAAUGUUCCGCAAUGGGCGAGAGUCUGACGGAGCAACGCCGCGUGAGUGAUGGAGAUCUUGGGAUCGGAAUACUCUGUUAUUAGGGAAGAACCUAUGUGUACGUAAAUGUGGACAGAGUGACGGUAACGAGUAAGAAAGCCACGGCUAACUACGUG